UACGGAGGGGGUUAGCGUUGUUCGGUAUCACUGGGCUUAAAGAGUUCGUAGGCGGCCUAGUAGGUGAGAUGUGAAAUCCCACGGCUCAACCGUGGAACUGCGUUUCAAACCACUAGGCUUGAGGGAGAUAGAGGUGAGUGGAACAGAUGGUGGAGCGGUGAAAUGCGUUGAUAUCAUCUGGAACACCGGUGGCGAAAGCGGCUCACUGGAUCUCUUCUGACGCUGAGGAACGAAAGCUAGGGUAGCGAACGGGAUUAGAUACCCCGGUAGUCC
rnacentral:rRNA from 1 species